UAGGGAAUCUUCCACAAUGGGCGCAAGCCUGAUGGAGCAACACCGCGUGAGUGAAGAAGGGUUUCGGCUCGUAAAGCUCUGUUGUUAAAGAAGAACACGUAUGAGAGUAACUGUUCAUACGUUGACGGUAUUUAACCAGAAAGUCACGGCUAACUACGUGCCAGCAGCCGCGGUAAUACGUAGGUGGCAAGCGUUAUCCGGAUUUAUUGGGCGUAAAGAGAGUGCAGGCGGUUUUCUAAGUCUGAUGUGAAAGCCUUCGGCUUAACCGGAGAAGUGCAUCGGAAACUGGAUAACUUGAGUGCAGAAGAGGGUAGUGGAACUCCAUGUGUAGCGGUGGAAUGCGUAGAUAUAUGGAAGAACACCAGUGGCGAAGGCGGCUACCUGGUCUGCAACUGACGCUGAGACUCGAAAGCAUGGGUAGCGAACAGGAUUAGAUACCCUGGUAGUCCACGCCGUAAACGAUGAGUGCUAGGUGUUAGGUCCUUUCCGGGACUUAGUGCCGCAGCUAACGCAUUAAGCACUCCGCCUGGGGAGUACGACCGCAAGGUUG
rnacentral:rRNA from 1 species